UAAUUCUACCCCCACUCUUUUGAGCUCCAUUCACACUCCACUCAACUAAAACGAGCUUCUUCCUCUCUCCUUCCACGAGCUUCUUCUUUCGCCGCUGCUGCCGCCGCUUGCACGUGUCUCCUCAUCGCACGAGUUUCAGUCACAUCCAAUUCGAAUCAAUUCAACAAUGGCCGCAGUGGCUUCCCCUUCCUCCAGAAACCAGACGUCGUCCUCCUCGUGCUCCUUUUCCCACCCCUUCGCUUCAUACACCUCCGCCAAUUUCGCUCCCGGAGCCUCUCCCUCGUCCCCACGCGCUUCUCCUCCUCCUUUGGCCACCAUCGGCGUUUUUCUUCCACCGCUUCGCCACCGUGUCUAACAUCGUCAUCCGUGAGAUUCUCCUCAGAGUAACCACCAGGCUCCCCCAGAUAACACUCCACGGCUAUAAAGAGUUAGGUCAGAAUUUUGCAAAACAUACUCUUUUGGUGCGGUCGACCUCAGCUGAAAGACCGACAGUUUUGGUUCGCUCUGCGGCAGCAGUAAUACCUUUGCACUCCAUGAUGAACUGGAUAUGCUACAAGAGGAGAAUGAGGUUAUAUUAGAAAAGGUGGCGCUCUUCUGGCCUAACAAAGUUGAUUUUAAACUCAAAUUAUGUGAUAUUUAACAUAUUUGCUUGAUUAUAUUGACAGUUAAGAGUUGUAGAGAAAAAACGCCAAGAAGUGGAGGCCAGAGCUAGGGAGCUUGAUAAAUAGGUUGCUUCUCUUAGAGAAGGUGUAUCUCUAGAAACUAAACUUUUGAGCAGAUUGAAUCUAUUUGCAAUCUUUUUGCUACUCUUUUCCUAGCCAGCAUUGGAACGUUGAUUCAUGUUCAUUUUCUCUGGAACCAUGUUGACAUUCUGGUAGCAUCUGGAACUCAUGUUCAUUUUCUCUGAACCAUGUUGAUUCAUGUUCAUUUUCUCUUCUCAGUCGUGCUUCUAAUCUUCAUCUAGUUGAGGAUAAACUAUAUUUGCUGCUUCUUGGGACCACAGCUCUUAGUCUGUCUUUCAGAUUUUGAAAUGCUGUGAACAUGGCAAUAUACACAUAUAGCUGAUAAACUUGGUGCAAAGAAAUGGAUAGGACAAUAAAAAUUUCUCUGUCUUUCAAAGAGAUUGUUCUUUCAUUAAAAAGAAAGUUUGAAUUGAAUGUCAAUGUUAGACAAGCUUUGAUGUGGAAAAAAUUAUCUAUUCUUCAAUAUUGAAGUUUACCAAGAUUAAGUAUUUAAGUCUGAAAAGCGUAAAGUAUAUCAUAAGCUGCCAUCAGUUUCAAUACUUUGUAUUUAGUGAUACUGCUAUUAAUUUAUUAUGAAUGCAUAAUUCCAUCAAUAAAUUUUCAGCUAAUUUCUGCAAGUAACAACUCCUUUACUUUGCUAAUAUCUAGAAAUUAUAAUCAGAUAUUUAGUCAUAUUUUGCUACAUUUGUAAAAGUAGUUGUGUUCAUACUUGCUACUUGAAUGGUUUGGGUAAAAGAUUGGAUUUGAUAGAAUAAGAGAAUACUAAUGUGGGUGUAAAAUUAUUUUUUAAAAUGACAUCUAAUUAGGUGUUUUAUAUAGUUAAAAGCAGUUUCUUUUUGAGAUAUUUGGUGUGAAAAUGAACUGUUUUUCUUUUUUUCUUUUUUAAUUUAUCUGUAAGAUAUGAUUGGAUGUAAUAUAUAAAAAUUAAAUUAUUAUUCCCUAAUGUCAUUCAUUUUCAUAUUUUUUUGUUUUUUAUUAAAUUUUUGGAUUAAUUCUUCCCCCGCCCCUGUAUUAGUCAAGGGACAUGUAUUUUCUGCAAAAGCUUCUGAAUUUGAAAGGAGAUGAUGGUUUCAGAAUGAAUGAAGUGCUUGUGUCAUUGUGGUACAUAAUGGGUUUGUGGCCCUUAGCCAAUAGCAUGCUGCUAUUUCUUACAGGAAGGAGCUCAAAAAGCAAAGUUCCUUUUUGGCCCUUCUUUUUACUUUCAGUUUUGACGGUGCAUAUGCGCUUCUUCCUUAUUUCAUACUUUGGAAUCCACCAGCACCUCCGAUUGAAGAAACUGAGCUUAAAUCAUGGCCAUUGAUCUUUCUUGAAUCAAAAGUAACUGCAGAGAUCGGAUAUAGUAAGGUAGACAUCCUCUGCUCAGAAAGUGGGAAGUAGCGAAUAAUUUUGAUGGACCAAGAU